rnacentral:lncRNA from 1 species
CCCUGCUCGUUUUAACCAUCUCUUGCAGGUUUUCGUGACUGUUCUGAUUCCUGUUGCUGCAGCCAGCGUGGAUCCGGAUGCCGUGGCUACAGAGGCUUGUUACUUUCUCAUGCUGGAUCCCUCAAAUCCAAGAGCUACUUGGCAGUUUCCAAGGCAACCACCUGUGGAAUAAUUAAAAAGGAUGAAGUGUUAGCCUGCCAGAUAUAAGGAAUUCUUGCCUGGAGAGAGCAUUUCACUUUCAUCUGCCUUGAAGAACCAAAUGUGCUUCUGCCAGCAAAGUUAAGAAAAAGGAAAGGUGGCUGAGUUGUACAAGUGAACCAGGACAACCCAAAAUGUGACUCAAAGCAGGAGGGAGCAGAUGGCAGCAUCGUUAGCUGGUGGCCACAGCCUUCCCAGAUGAGUUUUGGAAUUUCCAUCAAAGUCGGGAUUAGGCUCAGGAUAUGCCGGUGGCACAGAGCACGCCGGGGGAGCGUGGAAGAAGAGGAAAUCAUUCAUAGCGACUCAUCUCGUGGUUGGGUGCUGAUCUCACAGAGGUGUCCUGCAUAUGCCAAAGGACGAACGUGUUGUUUGAGGGAAAAGCUGCUCAUAAAUCUGUGCAAACUGAAAGAUUCUGAAGACAAACCUGUCAGUAGUGAAUUGUCCCAGAAGCACAUGGAGAAAGUUGUACAUGGUGGAGGCUGUUUUUUCUGAGGCUGAAACUCAUCUCAACUCCUCAUGACCAGCUGAGCAAGAGAGAUGGGAUUUGAUGCUAUCCAAGGUGUAAUUCCACAGUUCAUGUCUUUUGCUACUGCCAGCUUAAUAAGUUUCUGCCCACUCCCAGCCAUUCAUUUCCAGCCCAGCAGCAAUGCAGUGCCAUCUCUUCCCUGACCGUGCGGAAAACCAGAUGGCUGAAAAUAACUCAGUCAAGAAAAGAAACCCUUUAUUUUAUUUUUUUCCUUUGAAUUAGAUUCAUUUGAAUGAUGCCCAUGGGCAGUCGUAUUGGUACAACUGAAGGUGACAUGAACUGCAGCAUCAGAGGCAGCAGUGAGCACUGGAGGGUGUCCCAAUGCUAAGUGAUCUUGCUGUCAACAAAAAUCUGCUCUGGGACCAUAUCCUGGAUGAAGGGGUGUUUCACUAGCCACAGGAUUAUUUAUUGAACUGCUGCUUUUCAUUUAUUUUAUUAAGGAAGAUUAACAUCUUCUUGUUUGGGCAGGUUUAUUUUUUUUUUUACUUGAGGAGAUAAACCAUCUCUGUGAGAAGUCAGUCAGCUUUGUGGACAGCCAUGAAUGUCAAUAAAGUCUUGGCAAACACAGUAGGCA